UUUUCUUUGUUUUUCUUUUUCUUUUUUGUUUAUUUAAUUUUAGAGUUUUUUAGGUUUUACCUUUUGUAUUAGGGGAUAAAGAUUUUUUGAUUGUUUUCUUUUCUCGAUGUUUUUUUGAUCUAUAUUUUAUUGUUGUAUGUUGAAUUAUUUAAUUUCUUAUAGUUGUUAUAUGCUGUCGAUUAAAUUCUUCUAGUUUAAUUUUUUAGAAGGGGUUUAGCUUUUCUUUUUACUUGUUUUUCUUAUUUAUUAUUUUAUUAAUAUUAGUUUUUAUUUUGUGUUUUAACUUAUUAUUGUUUUAUUGUUUCUUUGGUUUUUCUAUUUUUAUUUGUAUGUUCUUUUUAUGAUUUUAUUAUUAGUAGAUUUUUUAGUUUUUUAUUUUGUGUUUCUUUAUUUUUAAGUUUUGUUUUUUAAUUAGUAAAAAGUGGGAGUAAAUGUUUAUCAAAAUCUUUUCUAUAGUUUUUUUUAGUUAUCUCUGCUCUAUGAAUAUUUAAUAGCCAUGGUAAUUUGACUAUGCUAAGGUAGCGAAAUCAUUAGAAUUUUAAUUGGAUUCUUGUAUGAAUGGGAUUAUAUUCUUACUUUUUGGUUUAUUAAUGUUUGAAUUUGUUUUUCAUUUGAAAAGUUUUUGAAGAUUUUUAAAAGACUAAAAGACCCUUGGAUUUUUAUUUUUUCUUUUAAUUCAUGUAUUUUUAUUUAUUAUGUUUAUGGGUGAUUAUUUAUUUGGGGUAAACUUUUAUUUUAAUAUAAUUUUUUAUGUUUUUUUAUCUUCUUUUUUGUUUUAUGUAUAAAUACCUAAGGGAUAACAGCAUAAUUUUUCUGGAGAGUUCUUAUCUAUAGAAGUUUUUAUGACCUCGAUGUUGGUUUGUUCUUCCUAUUUGAGGUAGAAUGUAAGUUAGGUGAUCUGUUCGAUCAUUAAAAGGACACAUGAACUGAGUUCAAGUCGGCGUGAGCCAGACUGGAUUUUAUCUUUUGAUUUUUUAGUCUUUUUUAGUACGAGAGGAAUGAUUAGUUUUCUUUUAG
rnacentral:rRNA from 1 species